ensembl:lncRNA
GUUUCCUACUCAAGACCAGGAAGGCUUAAAACAAAGGGAAACAGGAAGAAACUACAGCAAGAGCGAUUCACGGCGGACACAGGGGAGGAUUUCCUGACUGUAGGGGAAGGCAUGGCAUUGCUGGGUGAGGGCACUGAAGCACCAUGUCAUCCUUGUUUCUGAAGCAAAUCCCUCGUCCCCUCUAGCUUCCCUGGACACUCCCCACCCAGCUUCAGAGGCGGCUGCCUGUCUGGAUCCCAUGCAUCCGACACCGUUCCUCCCAGGCUCCCACGUCCCUCCGUGUUCCUGUCUCGGGGCUUUCUGCAGAACUACAGAAGCUCACUCUCUUGUGUCUCCACACCCGAGGCGGCCUGGAAUCGCAGAGGAGUUACACCCCAAGGCAACCAUCAGCCAUCAUGGAUCAAUGCUCAUGAGCCUGUGCUCUGGACAGACAGUUCUGAAGGACAUUCCAGUGGCGCCUCUGAGGGUCCUAGAGGCCCCAAGGACCAGGCGUCCAUAAUUCAAUAACACACCUUUUAUUGGCUUCCUUCCUCCCAGGACACACCCGCCUCUCUCCCGUGCCUCCCUGCCUCCCCUCCCAAAUAAAACACCUGUACCCACGUCCCUGUCUCAGGUUGAGCUUUCAGAGGAGCUUCAGUAGGACACGAAUCUAUAGUGACAUCGCCGAUGUACCUGCUCCAGGACACCCUUGCUGACCCCUCCCCCAGGCCACUUGACCCUGGGUCUCCUGUUCCGUCUGACGUCUGUGGGGCAUGUGCACGGUCCACCCCUUCCCACCCCACCGUCACAGGGAGUUGGGGAGCUUGCUCUCCACUAAGCUCCAAGAUGCCUCCAGGCUGAGACAGUCUCCCGGUCAUCAGAGGGUCUAGUGGCUCAGGGCACCCCUUAUUUCAUCAGGGCCAUGAUCAUCAUUAUCAACAACACGGGGGCUCCCGUGUCCUCUGCAUUCACAUUUUGCUUUUCUGGUGGCUCAGAAUCUGCCCGCAAUGCGGAAGACCCAGGUUCGAUCCCUGGGUCAGAAAGAUCCCCUGGAGAAGGGAAUGGCAACCCACUCCAGUUUUUUUGCCUAGAGAAUUCCAUGGACAGAGGAGCCUAGCAGACUACAGUCCACGGGGUCGCAAAGAGUCAGACACUACUGAGCAACUAACAAACAUACACACACGGAAGGUGAUACAGUGCUGUGUAGAGAAAAAGAGUUGAGAAUUAACUUGAUUACCUGAUUCCUAACUAUUACCUGUGGGUUCAGUAAAGGAACAGUUACAUAAUAAUGACAUACUCACUCAAUAGACUCUUAUGUGGCCAUUUAUGAUUUUAAAUAUUUCAUUGUAAUAAAGAUUUUUGCUGAGCACUUAGUAUAUACCACAUACUGGGCUAAAAGCUUUUACAUACAUGUUCUCAUUUAAUC